rnacentral:lncRNA from 1 species
ACCCUGAAAAGGCACCCACCACUUUAUAAAUAACGGCGUUGUGCCGGGCGCGGGGGAGGUCGGGGACGGGAGGGCCUGAGUCAGCAGGGAGAAUUUAAAUUGACUUCCUUUUGUAAAUGAUAUUUACAAAUUGCAUCUGCCAAGAGGAAUCUGUUUGUAUAGUGAGUAAUUCCUCCAGCUAAUUCUAAAAUGAGUUUGAGGCCCCUGGGCUGAGCUGCGAAAGCAGCAUUCAGGAAAACUCCAGAGCUAGAGGUACAUCUGAGAGCCUGGCUGGAAUUUUAAAGGUUCUCUUCUUUCAAUUGGUUCUGGAGGCCCCACAAAGAGGCUUUAAGCCUGGGACAGUUGCGUCCCGGUGGCCGGCCCAGUACGCAUCUGCAUAUCUGACAUGCAGAAAGACCUCCUAGACCCAUCUCCAUGAGUCUUCUGGCAAGCCCAGGAGGUAGCAGCCGGGGCUCAGAGAAGGCAGCCACCAUGUUGUCAAGACACUCAAGCAACCUGAGCCCCAUGCAAAGAGAAACUGAGAUUCUCCACCAAUAUUCAGGAUCUGUCCACCAGCCACAUGAAUGAGCCCCUCGGAACAGUAUCCUCCAGCCACAGUCAAGCCCUCGGAUAACACAGCCCCAGUUACAGUCUAGGCUCCUGCAUCGUGACAAAAACCAGCUAAGCCACUUCCAGACUUCUGAUCCACAGAAACUGUGAGUGGUAAUAAAUGUUGAUUGUAGUUUUAAGUCCCUGAACUUUGGGACAAUCUGUUACAUAGCAACAGCUGACAAAUAUAGUAGGUUUGCAAAGGAGCACGU